AUGCAGUUGGUCUCAGGGGGCCACACCGCGGUCUCAGUUAAUGGUCAGGUUAGCAACUUCUUCGCCAAUGGCCAGGGCCUACGGCAAGGUGAUCCCGCAUCUUCUAUCAUGUUUAACUUUGUUGCAGAUGCUCUAUCUUGUAUCCUAUCCAGGGCUGCUUCUCACGGUCACAUUUCUCCGGUCAUUUCCCACCUUAUUCUGGAAGGGGUCACGCACCUUCAAUAUGCGGAUGACACGAUCAUUAUGGUAGAACUAAAUGACUCCUGCACUACCCUCCUUAAGUUCAUUAUACUUUGUUUUGAAGCCCUUUCAGGCCUCAAAAUCAAUUUCUCCAAGAGCGUGGUCAUUGUCACUGGUGUUGAUGACACGGAGGCCUUAUGGGUGGCCCAUCUUCUCAACUGUAGCCUGGGAGCCUUUCCUUUCAAAAUCUUGGGCCUCCCAAUCUCCCUGGACAAUCUAUAUGCCAAAGAGUUUGCCCCUGCCGUUGUGAAGGUUGGUAAUAGGGUGCUCCCUUGGCGGGGUAGAUACAAUACAAGUGCUGGGAAAGUGGCGCUGAUUAAUGCUUGCAUGUCUUCCUUACCA
rnacentral:rRNA from 1 species